UUCAGAAACAGCUCGUCAACCACCUCGGUCGCUUGCUAGCCAACAUAGCCGUAAGAUUCAAGCUAUUUAUACGCUUUCGGUGUAUAUUAGCUACUGUGUUUUCGACACACUUAGGUCGUAUCUACUUGUUAACCUAUUUCAUUUAGUAUUACGUUAUUUUGUAUUAGUCAGCUAUAGUAGCUGGCUGGUUAAGUUAGCACUAGCCUAGUCGCUAAUGAUAGCUAGCUAGCUAACAUCCCCGAACAUGAGCUCCAUAAACUUCUCCCCUCCUGUUAAAGAAGAGGAUAAGGUCUGCUGGACGGAGAAAUUAGGUCUGUGGCUGAACAUUGUCGUGAAAGAGGAGGAGGAAGAAGAGGAUGUCACAGUAAAACAAGAAGUAGAGGGUGAGGCUGUUACAGUGAAAGAGGAAGACGUUUCAGUGAAGGAAGAGGAGGACGCGUUCAGAGUUAAAGAGGAGGAAGAUGAGAAAGAGGAGGAUGUAGUUUUUGGUGUGAAAGAGGAGGGGGAGGUUACUGUCACAUUGGAGGAAGAAGAGGAGGUUGGAGAUCUGUUUAACCCCAGUAGCUAGCUAACAGCCAUGGAGGGUGAAAGGAUAGCAGCCCCAACUGUCAGUGAGAGAGGAGGCUAUUCUGGAUAGGGCAGGUACUUUUGUGUUGUUCCUGUCCCUAGAAGUGAGGACGGAGAUAAUAGUAACAUAAUAUUCAGUGUGGUGUAAUAUGACUAUAAUGAAGUGUGUUUCUUGUGAGGUUUUCUGUCCUCAGAUAAAGAGCUCUAUGAAAGCCAGUCUACAUAUGAAGAGGUCCCAAUGAAGAGCAGUGGUUCUCAGUCCUGGGGACUCAGAGGCACAUUGUUGUUUUUGCCUCAGCACUGCACAGCUGAUUCAAAUGAUCAACUCAUCAUCAAGUUUCAAGUGAUACCUUGUAACAGGAGAUUCCUUCAAAACGAUUGCCUACAGUUACCGUGUAGCGAACUGCAAGGUUGGGUGACCAGGGUCAUCUGGGACUGCCUCCUGGAGGAAUUCAGGUGUGUGAAGGCUACAUGUGUCCUGCGUAACUUCAUGAGGAUGAACACGAGGACCAGGAGGGGAUCUGCAGCUCACCGCCGUGUCCCAGAGGAGGAGUCUGCUGCUCUGCAGGAUGUUUCAAGGAUGGGGUCCAACCACGCAGCAAGAGAGGCAAUCCGUGUUCGGGAGAUCUUCACCUCCUACUUCUUCAAAGAGGGUGCUGUUCCCUGGCAACACCAUAGACUACACUAUGCUCAACCAAAGGCUCUUUUAAGAGGUUGCUGUUCCCUAGCAACACCAUAGACUACACUAUGCACAACCAAAGGCUCUUUUAAGAGGGUGCUGUUCCCUGGCAACACCAUAGACUACACUAUGCACAACCAAAGGCUCUUUUAAGAGCCAUUCACAUUGCAAUAAGAGUAUUCUUCCAUUUACUUAGCUAUGUCAACUGCAGUUAUUCAAUUCAUAGUUUCUCUCCCUUUGAUUUCUACUUCUCCGAUGAGGGUGCAGUUUAGGUAAGGGUGUGAUGUCUGUGCAAAAACAAAACAGGCUAUUUCAAAUCACCCAUAUUGAAAAAAUUUAUAACAAUUAGACACCCUAUAACCCACACCUACACACUAAUGUAUCAAUCUGAUUGAUGGAUUGUGUUGUGCAGUAAGCAGGCUCAGGUGUAUAACUGUGGCUCCUUCCACCUUCAAAGAAUAGGCAAGAGGGCCAACCAUGGAGAAUAGUAAGACACUUCAUUAUUUCUAUAACUACGCUAUAUUGUUUGUCCUUGUGUGUCUGUUCAUGUUUUUCAGCAUAAAGUACUCUGCAGCCACUUAGUGUGGUGUGGACACCAGUCCUCUAGGUUAUAUCAGCUGUGUCGGUGAACCCCUCCUGCAUCUGAACUGGCUACAUAGAGGGCACAGCAUGAUCAGAGAUAUGUUUUGAUGUGAGAGGAUGCCAACCCCCAGUCCCAUCAUCGCCACCUCACCCUCUUUUAAGAUAACCUUUAGGCCGACUAGAGACAAUAUUAUGUAAUUGUGAUGAACUGAGAGAAUAUUUAUGUAGCACUGUGUUUCAUUAAUCAUGUGCUGCCUUCCCUGCUCCUAUGUGCUUACCUCUUUCCCUUUCUGUCUUUAACACCUCUCUCUCCACCUCUUUCUUCCUCUGUUUUUAUAAUUCACAACAGAUGUGCAUUGAAGUACAGAUUGAACUUGUAUUUAUAACACUUGGAUAAUGAGUUUUUCAAUAAAGCGUUUCACAUUC